AUGAUAACAGAAUUGAGAAGGAGAGGAUUCAUGAUCGAGAAGAUAACAGAAAAUUUCAAAGAAUCACCUUUCAACUCUCUCUUUGCAAUUCCUUACCAUUCUUCCUCAACCUUGAAUCACCGAAUCUCUUCUCCUCUUAGACUCCUUCCGCACCUUCUUUCAAUCUUCAUCCUCAACAUCACCUUCAUCUUCGAGUUCCUCUAG